rnacentral:rRNA from 1 species
GCACAAGCGGUGGAGCAUGUGGUUUAAUUCGAUGCAACGCGAAGAACCUUACCUACUCUUGACAUCCAGAGAACUUUCCAGAGAUGGAUUGGUGCCUUCUGGGCAACUCUGAGUACAAGUGCUGCAUGGCUGUCGUCAGCUCGUGUUGUGAAAUGUUGGGUUAAGUCCCGCAACGAGCGCAACCCUUAUCCUUUGUUGCCAGCGAUUCGGCCGGGAACCCAAAGGAGACUGCCAGUGAUAAACUGGAGGAAGGUGGGGAUGACGUCAAGUCAUCAUGGCCCUUACGAGUAGGGCUACACACGUGCUACAAUGGCAUAUACAAAGAGAAGCGACCUCGCGAGAGCAAGCGGACCUCAUAAAGUAUGUCGUAGUCCGGAUUGG